GAUCCCCUUUUCCAUCUUCUUUCUAUUAGUUUAGCUUGAAUCAACAAAGCUCCACCCCAUAACACCUAGCCAUGUGUUUCUCGCAUCUAUAUAUCUGCAGUAUCAUCAAGUCACAUAUUUCACAGUAAGCCCAUCAAUAAAUCUAUAAUUGAGACACCAUACAUGAAGUAAGUUAAAUAUAAUUUGGGAAUUGAUAUAUUAUACUCACUUGGACAUGAACAAAGAGUUUCAUCAAAAGGUACACAAGAACAUAAACCCAGAAAACUCAACUUGUGUGUAUCCACCAUCACAUGAACUUUGAAUUCAUGUGAAGAUCCAUUAUAUAUUUGCUUCACAGAUUUCAUGCGAAGCAUCUUCAAUAAGUAAAUACUUAGAGACCAAAAAAUACAUGUCUCAUUCAUCAAUACAUAUAAAAAAAACUUCAUUUAAAAAAAAAAAAAAAGGCUCAAAUCCUUAUAGAUAAAGAUGUCUAAACCACUAACCUCUAAGAAAUAUAGAAUCGAAGGCACUAUUUUCAUAGAAAUUCAAAAUUUAACCACGACAUAUAAAGACAAUCAAUCUUUUUAUAAUACCAAAAAUAGAUGAUUUUUGGAUGGUGACUCGGAGACCCUUCAAGUCCUUUGUAGUUUUCCUUGCAAUGUCUUCACUGAUUUUGGAGCGAGAGAACUUGCUGCGUUGACUUCACCUCGAGUGAUCGAACGAAAAACUCAAUGACUCGAUAGGGAUUGAACUUUGAUGGUGUUCUAGCACAAUUAUGAAACAGAGAAGAGCAGAGCUAUUUUUGUGCAUGUGUAUCACUACUAUAUGCUUUUCGAAAUUG
rnacentral:lncRNA from 1 species